CGCCCGUCGCUCCUACCGAUUGGAUGUGCUGGUGAAGCGUUCGGACUGGCUCGGCUCCGCGGUUUUCCGCUGGCCGGCGCCGGGAAGUUCGUUAAACCCUCCCAUCUAGAGGAAGGAGAAGUCGUAACAAGGUCUCC
rnacentral:rRNA from 1 species